AAUCUGAAAUAUCUGAACUUGGAGAAUAAUUUCAAGCUAAAUAUGAUCCCAAGGGGAGUCAUAUCUGGUUUAUCAUCGUUACAAGUUUUGAGAAUGUAUGGCAAAGUUAGUUUUAAGGGAAAAAAAAGGAACAUAAUUUAUUUGGGGAAGAUAAUAUGCUACUAGAGGACCUGCAAUGUUUAGAACACUUGAAGGAAUUGACCAGCACAAUAAGAAGUGUCUCAGUUCUCCAGAGUUUUAUCAGCAUCCACACAUUACUCAACUGUACUCGAGGCCUAAGGCUUGAACUGUUUCAAGGUCCACAAUCUCUCAACGUGUGGUGGUUAGCAAAUAUGAAGAAUCUAGGUGUCCUACAAAUUUUUGGUGAUAUAGAUUCAGAAGAGUUGGAUGUUGAUAUUGUAAUGGAAGAGACAGAAACACAUAAUGCAGCUGGAGGUCUAGGUAGCUCAGUGAUCUCAAGGGAGGCAUGCUUUAAUAGCCUUCAUACAUUGAUUGUAUCAGGUAACCUCAGAUUGCGGGAUCUGACAUGGCUUAUUCUAGCUCCAAAUUUGACGAAUUUGAGUGUCUUUGUCAACAAGCAUAUAGAAGAGAUAAUA
rnacentral:misc_RNA from 1 species